UAGAAAAUUUUAUUUCUAUAAUAUGAUUUCAAGUCAUAUACUUAUUCAAGUUCAUUAACUAAUUUUUUUUUAAUAAUAUAUCUCAAAUAUUAUUUAUAAAAAAUGAUAAAAUUAAAUAUAUAAAAUAUAAUGAUGUAAAUAAUAUAUUUAAAUUUGUAUAUGGAUAUUCAAUUAUUUGUUUUCCUAAUCAAGUAAGUAUAAUAAAAAUGUUAAUAAAUCAUCAAUAAAAAAUUUUAUUUAUAAAAUAAUAUGUAUUAUUUUUUAAAUUAUUUGAAUUAAUUAAUGGAAUUAAAUAUAAAAUAAAAAUUGAUAUAAAAAGUAUAAUUACUCCUUCUAAUUUAUUUGGAAUUGUUCGUAGAAUUGAAUAUGUAAAUAGAAAAUAUCAUUCAGGUUUAAUAUGAAUUGGUGUAAUUAUUGGAUUUGCUAUUUUAAAAUUAUCUGGAUCACCUAAGAUGUAAGGUAUUUGUAAGUUAAUUA